rnacentral:sRNA from 1 species
AACUAGCCCUGAUGGAAGCGGCAUCCCCGCUUUUUCUGCGGGAAUAUAGCGGACAGCAGGAACCCAU